ensembl:miRNA
UUCCCGGCUCUACUGACCUUUGGGUGCUUGCUUUGGGUAGUGAGAGCUCUCAUUUGUCCUGGGGUAGUUGCAGGUUUAUAGGCUACCCCAGUCUUCAGAUACAUGAGGCCUUUUUGCUCUGUGGUCCCAUAGUCCUGUAGAUGUG